GAUGAACGCUGGCGGCGUGCCUAAUACAUGCAAGUCGAGCGAACGGACGAGAAGCUUGCUUCUCUGAUGUUAGCGGCGGACGGGUGAGUAACACGUGGAUAACCUACCUAUAAGACUGGGAUAACUUCGGGAAACCGGAGCUAAUACCGGAUAAUAUUUUGAACCGCAUGGUUCAAAAGUGAAAGACGGUCUUGCUGUCACUUAUAGAUGGAUCCGCGCUGCAUUAGCUAGUUGGUAAGGUAACGGCUUACCAAGGCAACGAUGCGUAGCCGACCUGAGAGGGUGAUCGGCCACACUGGAACGGAGACACGGUCCAGACUCCUACGGGAGGCAGCAGUAGGGAAUCGUCCGCAAUGGGCGAAAGCCUGACGGAGCAACGCCGCGUGAGUGAUGAAGGUCUUCGGAUCGUAAAACUCUGUUAUUAGGGAAGAACAUAUGUGUAAGUAACUGUGCACAUCUUGACGGUACCUAAUCAGAAAGCCACGGCUAACUACGUG
rnacentral:rRNA from 1 species